CAGUGCCACGGCCGUCUGAGCUAAGAUCUGAAUAAUAACGAUGAGGCGCAGGAAACUGCGCCUUUUUU
rnacentral:sRNA from 1 species